rnacentral:misc_RNA from 1 species
UCUCCGUUGGUGAACCAGCGGAGGGAUCAUUACCGAGUUUACAACUCCCAAACCCAAUGUGAACCAUACCAAACUGUUGCCUCGGCGGGGUCACGCCCCGGGUGCGUCGCAGCCCGGAACCAGGCGCCCGCCGGAGGGACCAACCAAACUCUUUCUGUAGUCCCCUCGCGGACGUUAUCUUUACAGCUCUGAGCAAAAAUUCAAAAUGAAUCGAGACUUUCAACAACGGAUCUCUUGGUUCUG